AGUGAACGCUGGCGGUAGGCCUAACACAUGCAAGUCGAACGGCAGCACAGUAAGAGCUUGCUCUUACGGGUGGCGAGUGGCGGACGGGUGAGGAAUACAUCGGAAUCUACUUUUUCGUGGGGGAUAACGUAGGGAAACUUACGCUAAUACCGCAUACGACCUACGGGUGAAAGCAGGGGAUCUUCGGACCUUGCGCGAUUGAAUGAGCCGAUGUCGGAUUAGCUAGUUGGCGGGGUAAAGGCCCACCAAGGCGACGAUCCGUAGCUGGUCUGAGAGGAUGAUCAGCCACACUGGAACUGAGACACGGUCCAGACUCCUACGGGAGGCAGAAGUGGGGAAUAUUGGACAAUGGGCGCAAGCCUGAUCCAGCCAUACCGCGUGGGUGAAGAAGGCCUUCGGGUUGUAAAGCCCUUUUGUUGGGAAAGAAAAGCAGCAGGUUAAGACCCCGCUGUUCUGACGGUACCCAAAGAAUAAGCACCGGCUAACUUCGU
rnacentral:rRNA from 1 species